AGAGUUUGAUCCUGGCUCAGGAUGAACGCUACGGGGCAGGCUUAACACAUGCAAGUCGAGGGGCAGCGGGAUGUAGCAAUACAUUGCCGGCGACCGGCGCAAGGGUGCGUAACGCGUGAGCAACAUGCCCGUCACAGGAGGAUAAACCAUGGAAACGUGGCCUAAUACUCCAUAGUAUGUUUUGGAGGCAUCUCUAGGACAUUAAAGCUUCGGUGGCUGACGGAUUGGCUCGCGUGACAUUAGCUAGAUGGAGAGGUAACGGCUCACCAUGGCGACGAUGUCUAGGGGAACUGAGAGGUUAAUCCCCCACACUGGUACUGAGACACGGACCAGACUCCUACGGGAGGCAGCAGUGAGGAAUAUUGGACAAUGGAUGGAAAUCUGAUCCAGCCAUGCCGCGUGCAGGAUGACGGCCCUAUGGGUCUUAAACUGCUUUUGUAUGGGAGCAAUAAGUUCUACGCGUAGAGCGAUGAGAGUACCAUACGAAUAAGCAUCGGCUAACUCCGUGCCAGCAGCCGCGGU
rnacentral:rRNA from 1 species